UACGAACCGUCCAAACGUUAUUCGGAAUUAUUGGGCUUAAAGGGUGCGCAGGCGGCCCGGCAGGUGGAGUGUGAAAGCCCUCGGCUCAACCGAGGAAUUGCGCUGCAAACCGCUGGGCUGGAGGCAGACAGAGGUGAGCGGAACUCACAGUGGAGCGGUGAAAUGCGUUGAGACUGUGAGGAACACCGGUGGCGAAAGCGGCUCACUGGGUCUGUGCUGACGCUGAGGCACGAAAGCUAGGGUAGCGAGCGGG
rnacentral:misc_RNA from 1 species